rnacentral:misc_RNA from 1 species
UCUUGCCAAACCAAAAUCCGCAAGUUUGACAGUUUUGUGGUCCGCAGUCAAAAGCAAGUUCUCAGGUUUUAGGUCGCGAUGAAUGAUACCAUGAGAGUGCAAGCACUCCAUUGCACGGGCUAUAUCAAGGGCAAAUCUAAUAGCGACACCAGUAUCCAAGCACCUUGGCCUCAGGUUCAGCAAGUAUUUCCUCAGCGUCCCCCCGAGAAGAAGUUCAGUUACUAUGACCAUGACAGGCUCCUUGCAAGCUCCUAUGAACUUCACUAAGUUCUUGUGCUGAACUCUGGAUAACAUAGCAACCUCCCUUCCAAAACGAGAUUCCCUCUUGGCAAUCUCCUCAGGUGUCUCCCCUUUAUGCACAAUCUUUAUCGCUACAUUCUGGUUUCUGUAUUUUCCCUCAUACACUUUGGCAUGAGCACCCUCUCCAAUCUUAGGACCAACGAACAGAAGCUUCGGAUCAAUUAACCAUUUCGCCUCCAAAUUGAACUCUUCUUCUCCGGAGUAAAACCCAUUAGCAGAUCCCAUUUUCCAGACCCCAAAUACUCUCCCCCUAUAAUAACUUCAAGAAUGAACUAGUAGCACAUCUAUUUAACUACCAAAUUCGAAACACUUAAUAACAAUUCACCUAGCAUUUGAAGCAGCAAAAAAAGUUCAAGACUUUAUGACCAAGAACCAGAAAACUCAUAGACCCACAAACCAGAAACAAAUCUACAACAUGCCCUUGUGUUUAAAACAAGAGAAAAAUGAACCCCACAAACAAGAAACCCCAGAAAUUCCUACUGGUUCAAUUGAAAAAUAAAAAGUUCAGAAGAAGUAGAUCAGCUGGUUUGGUUGGUGGAUCAAUUGAG